rnacentral:lncRNA from 10 species
GCCCUCCGCGGCUCCUGCGCGACCCCACGCAAAAGCGCCCCGUGCGAAGAGCGCGGCCAGCCAGUCCGCAAAGGGCCUCGGGCAGUGCGGGCAGCACGAACGGCGCGAUCGGGGAGCAGGCGCGGCUACGCUCCGCCUCAGUGAUGUCGCCGGGAGGAUCUCCGCGCGGCUACCUCCUCUUCCGCCGCCUUCCUCCCACGCCUUCACCUCCCUCCCCCGCCGCGCUCUGCGGCGAAAAGGAGCGGGCUCCCAGGCCACCUCCCCUCUCUCCACCCAGGGGCCGCGCGUCAGUGGACCUGCAGCCCAGGCAACGGGGCUGCGGACGGCGCGCGUGCCCUGCCUCGCCUCACGCCGGUAGCUGAUGCUCCCGCGGCAGCUGCCACCCCAGCGCCCCAGCCACGGCUUCAGAGGCUCUCGCACGCUGGCUUUUUUUUUUUCCCCCCGCUUUGGUGAACUCGCAGUACUUGGGCUGAGCCCGAAAUCUCGCGAGAUGCUGCAGGCGUCAGUGCGGCUUCCCACUAGGCGCGUGGUACCCGAGGCCGGGCCGGAGCCGCAGGCCAGCCGCGAUUCCUUCGGGCGAUGCUGGGGGCUUUCCGGUCGGGGCCGCAGCCGCUUCCGGAGCCGCGGGCGAGGUGCGUUCCCCAGCCUGGUUUGCUCUGGGCUCUGACCCGCCGCCGCGAAUCUCCGCUCGUAACUCCGGGCCUGAACCUGGAGGAGGGAGGAUUUCCUCUGUGCAGCUUUCGAGCGGUAGACUCACCCUGCCAGGCAGACCUAGAUUGGCAUAACCAGAGAUCAGUUCCAGUUGUGAUGCAGUGGGUGUCUACACACUUCUGAUGACACCUUUAUUUUAAAAGCUGAUGUUCCAAGUAGAGUCGGGGUUUCACCGUGUUAGCCAGGAUGGUCUCGAUCUCCUGACCUCGUGAUCCGCCCACCUCCGCCUCUCCAAGUGCUGGGAUUACAGGCAUGAGCCACCGCGCCCGGCCCUUGUAUUUUUAAACUUUGACUUUAUGGAGACGAACACCAUCGUUUGCUGAACACUUGAAACAUGAUGAAAGAGCCACAGAGUUGGCAGAACUGUUUGAAAAUGCUGUGCAAGCGGUCUUCUCUGUCUUCUUUAUGGCCAGUAAAAUUCUCCAGAAGAGAUUUAUGGCAGCCUCACUCCCAGUAGUUUCUGCAUUUAGUGAGAUAAGAUGGAAUCUUGCUCUCUUGCUCAGACUGGAGUGCAGUGGCAUGACCUUGGCUCACUGCAACCUCACCUCUCGGGUUCAAGCGAUUCUGCCUCAGCCUCUCGAGUAGCUGGGACUACAGGUGGGAGACCUCCACAGAACCCUUCCAGCAAGCUGUCUUCUAAAGCAAACAAGAAAAGGAAAGUCUGAGCAGUUUUGAUUAGAUUUCCCAGAAGUCAAAGCAAGGAAAAAUGAAAAAGCUUCAUUUCUCACGUUCUUAAAAGAGAGCACAGAUGUUGCAUCAUCUGGUUAGAUACCCUGAGAAUAAAAUCUGGAUCCAGUGAGAGGAAAGAUUCUGGGUGCUCAUGAAAAAAGAAACAAAACAAAACUUGGGAGCCUCUUGAGAGUGUACAGCAUCAGCCCUUGCCAACUCUUGUUUAUAUGCAUUUAACUUUCAGUUAACCAUGGGAAUAAUUCAUGAAAAUCCAAUCUACAAACAAAGGCCAUCCUAACGUUCAUGUUAUUCUUUUCCCUAAGAAUCUUUCACAAGAGCUAUAAUCAAGUAGAAUUAUGCUUUGAUUUGAAUUCUAAUUCAAUUGAAAAUAAAAAAUGAGGGCCGGACGCGGUGGCUCAUGCCUGUAAUCCCAGCGCUUUGGGAGGCUGAGGUGGACGGAUCACGAGGUCAGGAGAUCGAGACCAUCCUGGCUAACACGGUGAAACCCGAUCCCUACUAAAAAUACAAAAAAUUAGCCGGGCGUGGUGGCAGGCGCCUGUAGUCCCAGCUACUCGGGAGGCUGAGGCAGGAGAAUGGCGUGAACCCAGGAGGCAGAGGUUGCAGUGAGCCGAGAUCAUGCUACUGCACUCCAGCCUGGGCGACAGAGCGAGACUCUGUGUAUAAAUAAAUAAAUAAAUAAAUAAAUAACGAAAAGGUUGCCAUUGCCCUUUCUGGGGAAAGUGAUAAUGAGGAAAGACUAGUUUCUUAACCCAAGUCAGCUUUAGAGUCGGCAAGGAUGCAAUUUGAGGUGAUCCAGGAAAACUCUAUUAGCAUGGUAUUUCCCAUACAGAUUCAUUUCUUUUAGGCCUGAAGUCUUUUUGGCACUUCUUAAUAAAAUCACAGAUACCUCUUGGACAUGAAAGCUUAUCCUUUAUCAAUUUCUAUCAGUUAACCACUCAGAUGAGGAUAAAGGCCUGAGUCAGAAAGGACAGAGAGAGGUUCCACAAAGAGAUAAAAGAUGAGUGGCCAUAAGGAGUCCUUGAAAACACACCUCUCUAGCCCAUCAAAAAAUGCAGCACCUUAAACUCAAGUCCAUCUUACUAGCCUUUAGCAGUACCCCACCACUCUCAAAAUUUCCAGCAUUAAAUGUCUCGGAGCUAUAUAAAAGGCAGACUUAGGUAUAAGUAGGAAGAGAUAUCAAGGGCUUGGGUAUCAUUUCAGCACUAAUGGAGCUUAUGG